AUUGAACGCUGGCGGCAUGCCUUACACAUGCAAGUCGAACGGCAGCAUAGGAGCUUGCUCCUGAUGGCGAGUGGCGAACGGGUGAGUAAUAUAUUGGAACGUGCCCUAGAGUGGGGGAUAACUAGUCGAAAGACUAGCUAAUACCGCAUACGAUCUACGGAUGAAAGUGGGGGAUCGCAAGACCUCAUGCCCCUGGAGCGGCCGAUAUCUGAUUAGCUAGUUGGUGGGGUAAAAGCUCACCAAGGCGACGACCAGUAGCUGGUCUGAGAGGACGACCAGCCACACUGGGACUGAGACACGGCCCAGACUCCUACGGGAGGCAGCAGUGGGGAAUUUUGGACAAUGGGGGCAACCCUGAUCCAGCAAUGCCGCGUGAGUGAAGAAGGCCUUCGGGUUGUAAAGCUCUUUUUUCAGGGAAGAAACGGUUCUGGAUAAUACCUGGGACUAAUGACGGUACCUGAAGAAUAAGCACCGGCUAACUACGUGCCAGCAGCCGCCGUAA
rnacentral:rRNA from 1 species